AAUGGCAUUCAGCAGCCAAGUUGUUCAUAUGCUGUAAGCGUGUUGUCUACUAAUUCAGCAUAGUUUUCAGCUCGUUCUGCACUACUAGCACAAAUGCAUCCCAAGCUGCAAGUUCCACAGGGUUGAGUUUUGUUCUGAAUGUGUCAUCAUGCAUUAGUUUGUUGAUUUCACGGCCAAUAAAAAUGUUGCCCUUUUUAUUUUAGCAUCUGUUUUCAGUGUGCUAAACUUCUUCAAAUACUGGAAACAAUUUCCAUCACGAUCAAGUGUAAUUACAACAUUUUUCAUUAAACAAAGUUUAAAGAGGACCUUUCACCUGAAAAUGCAAGUUAAACUAAAGAUAUACCUUUACUCGCCGGCCCCCGGUGGUGCUUAUUCAGCCUCAAGCCUUAUAUCCCUUUCAGAGGAUACAAAUCGACCACAUCCAGAUGCCAAUGUGCCAAGGGUUUCAAUAUGUGCUGGUAGUAAUAGACUUGUUCUCUGGGUAGCCAGAAGCCUACCCUGUCCGAAAUCAGACAGCAACUACUACUGCUAAAAAACUGAUGCAGGAGCUUGUCUGUAGGUUUGGAGUACCUGAGGUCAUUGAGAGUGAUCAGGGCCCAGCAUUUACUGCCAGAUUAACCCAAGAAGUCUGGGAAAUGGUAGGGUCGCACCUGGCGUAUCACACCCCCUACAGGCCCCAAAGCAGUGGCAAAGUUGAAAAAUUGAAAGGGGUGUUGAAGUAAAAAAUGUUGAAGAUGAUCAGGGAGACAGGGCUCAAUUGGGUUCAGUGCUUGCCUAUAGCACUCUUUUCAGUUAGGCACACACCAAGGCCUCCACAAAAAAUGACACCAUACGAGAUCCUAUUUGGGACAGGGCCAAGAAUGGGACAGUAUUUCCUGCAACAGUUGCAAAUGCAUUAUGAAUCUGUUGCCAAAUAUGUGAUAGCUAUGAGUAAACAAUUGUCUAACAUACAUGCACAAGUUUUCUCUUCCAUUCCAGAUCCUAACUCCCUAGAAGGAAGCCACACUCUGAAACCUGGAGAGUGGGUGGUGGUCAAAAAGCAUAUCAGAAGCACCCUCGAACCACCAUACGAGCUGACAAGAUGGAGGAUCAAGCAAUUGACAGCAAAACGCUGAUCAGGCUGCUACAGGAGAGGCGAUUCCUGUACGACAUGCAGGAUCCCCAGUACAAGAACUGGAGAAUCAGGCAGCAGGCGUGGGAAGCCAUUGGAAAGAAGAUAUGGCCAGAGUGGGAUAGUUUGACCAAGCAAGUGAAAGAGGCAAAAGUAAAUACCCUAAAAUUAAAAUGGAAAAGCCUGAAGGAUGCCUUCAUGCGGCAUCAAUGAAAGGAGCGGGAGUAUAGAAGUGGAGCUGCUGCAAUGGCCCCAGCAAGCUAUAUCCACUCUGAGCAAUUGACUUUUCUGGUGCCCUGCUCAGAGAUGCGUAGCACUGACAGUAGCUGGAAUGCUACCGAGAGGCAGGAUGAGGAAGAUGAGGAGGCCACCAGUGAAAGCAGCGCCUGCGUCUCUACUGGGACUGCUAAUACAACGCCACCAAAUCCAACAUCACCAUCACAAACCCCCACACCUACUGCCCCACCUGCCCAGGAACCGACCAGUGGUAGGGCCAAUCCAAGAACAAGAAGAAAGAGGUCGAAACGAGAUGAGGACCGGCUGAUAGAUUGCCUGGAUGCCAUGGCCCAUCCGGUCCCAAGGCUAUCAUGCGAGGCCCAUUUCCUCCUCAGCUUGGAGGACAAAAUGAAAAUGGUGCCCAGGAAUCGACAGACUGAAGCACGGGAAGCAUUAACACGCUGUCUGGACUCCUUCAUUCCACCUGAAUGUACCACACAUCUGCAUACUGCACCUCUACAUGCACCACCCAUGCACAUACACACAUCUCAAACAUACCCACAUCACGACACAUGGCAGCCACGCACACAAACACAGAUUGGUGCCCGCUCACGUGGAAUGAGGGAGGAAUUGCAGGAGGAUGCGCCGGAUUUUGCCUUCCCACAUUGCCAAAAUUUGUGAGAUUUUAGAUCUGUCACUCUAGGCACCUUUUUCAUUUUGCCCUCCAGGGUGUUUAACCACGUUGAGGAGGAAAAAUGCCGUGCACCUUGUCUUUGUUUUGAGACUUUGUUUUCUAGAAAUUUUGCACUUGUUUCUUUGCCACGUUUGCACUUUUAAUUAUUAUAAUUUUAUUAA